UUACGGGGAAGUAGGGUGUGAUUCCCUCACUGUGCCGCAACGGUUGAUAAAGUCCGAAUACCGUA
rnacentral:ncRNA from 23 species